UGGGGAAUAUUGCACAAUGGGCGAAAGCCUGAUGCAGCGACGCCGCGUGAGGGAUGGAGGCCUUCGGGUUGUAAACCUCUUUCAGUAAGGGUGAAGGCUCUCUUUUGUGGAGGGUUGACAGUACUUGCAGAAGAAGCGCCGGCUAACUACGUGCCAGCAGCCGCGGUAAUACGUAGGGCGCGAGCGUUGUCCGGAAUUAUUGGGCGUAAAGGGCUUGUAGGUGGCGUGUCGCGUCUGCUGUGAAAUUCCAGGGCUUAACUUUGGGAUUGCAGUGGGUACGGGCAUGCUAGAGUGCAGUAGGGGAGAUUGGAAUUCCUGGUGUAGCGGUGAAUUGCGCAGAUAUCAGGAGGAACACCGGUGGCGAAGGCGGGUCUCUGGGCUGUUACUGACGCUGAGGAGCGAAAGCGUGGGGAGCGAACAGG
rnacentral:rRNA from 1 species